GCUUGUCUCAAAGAUUAAGCCAUGCAUGUCUAAGUAUAAAUCUUUUACUUUGAAACUGCGAACGGCUCAUUAUAUCAGUUAUAGUUUAUUUGAUAGUCCCUUACUACUUGGAUAACCGUAGUAAUUCUAGAGCUAAUACAUGCGUCAAUACCCUUCUGGGGUAGUAUUUAUUAGAUUGAAACCAACCGCUUCGGCGUGAUGUGGUGAUUCAUAAUAAAUUUGCGAAUCGCAUGGCUUUACGCCGGCGAUGGAUCAUUCAAGUUUCUGCCCUAUCAGCUUUCGAUGGUUGUGUAUUGGACAACCACUGGCAAUAACGGGUAACGGAGAAUUAGGGUUCGGUUCCGGAGAGUUGGCCUUAAAAAUAGCCAACACAUCUAAGGAAGGCAGCAGG
rnacentral:rRNA from 1 species